rnacentral:rRNA from 1 species
CUUGAACGCUGGCGGCAGGCUUAACACAUGCAAGUCGAGCGAGCGGCGGACGGGUGAGUAAUGUCUGGGAAACUGCCUGAUGGAGGGGGAUAACUACUGGAAACGGUAGCUAAUACCGCAUACCAUCAGAUGUGCCCAGAUGGGCUUAGCUAGUAGGUGGGGUACUGGCUCACCGAGGCGACGAUCCCUAGCUGGUCUGAGAGGAGGACCAGCCACACUGGAACGGAGACGCGGUCCAGAAUGCUACGGGAGGCAGCUGUGGGGAAGAGUGCACAAUGGGCGCAAGCCUGAUGCAGCCAUGCCGCGUGUGUGAAGAAGGCCUUCGGGUUGUAAAGCACUUUCAGCGAGGAGGCGUUACUCGCAGAAGAAGCACCGGCUAACUCCGUGCCAGCAGCCGCGGUAAUUC